CCUACGGGAGGCAGCAGUAGGGAAUCUUCCGCAAUGGACGAAAGUCUGACGGAGCAACGCCGCGUGAGCGAUGAAGGCCUUCGGGUCGUAAAGUUCUGUUGUUAGGGAAGAACAAGUGUUAGUUGAAUAAGCGGGCACCUUGACGGUACCUAACCAGAAAGCCACGGCUAACUACGUGCCAGCAGCCGCGGUAAUACGUAGGUGGCAAGCGUUGUCCGGAAUUAUUGGGCGUAAAGCGCGCGCAGGCGGUUUCUUAAGUCUGAUGUGAAAGCCCCCGGCUCAACCGGGGAGGGUCAUUGGAAACUGGGAAACUUGAGUGCAGAAGAGGAAAGUGGAAUUCCAAGUGUAGCGGUGAAAUGCGUAGAGAUUUGGAGGAACACCAGUGGCGAAGGCGACUUUCUGGUCUGUAACUGACGCUGAGGCGCGAAAGCGUGGGGAGCAAACAGGAUUAGAUACCCUGGUAGUCCACGCUGUAAACGAUGAGUGCUAAGUGUUAGAGGGUUUCCGCCCUUUAGUGCUGAAGUUAACGCAUUAAGCACUCCGCCUGGGGAUACGGUCGCAAGACUGAAACUUAAGGAAUUGACGG
rnacentral:rRNA from 1 species